GGUUCGAUCAUGGCUCAGAUUGAACGCUGGCGGGAUGCUUACACAUGCAAGUCGAACGGCAGCACGGACUUCGGUCUGGUGGCGAGUGGCGAACGGGUGAGUAAUGUAUCGGAACGUGCCUAGUAGCGGGGGAUAACUACGCGAAAGCGUAGCUAAUACCGCAUACGCCCUUCGGGGGAAAGCGGGGGGACCUUUCGGGCCUCGCACUAUUAGAGCGGCCGAUAUCGGAUUAGCUAGUUGGUGGGGUAACGGCUCACCAUGACGAUCCGUAGCUGGUUUGAGAGGACGACCAGCCACACUGGACUGAGACACGGCCCAGACUCUACGGGAGGCAGCAGUGGGGAAUUUUGGACAAUGGGGGAAACCCUGAUCCAGCCAUCCCCGCGUGUGCGAUGAAGGCCUCGCUGUAAAGCACUUUUGGCAGGAAAGAAACGGCAUCGGAUAAUACCCCGUGCAACUGACGGUACCUGCAGAAUAAGCACCGGCUAACUACGCCGGCAGCCGCGGUAAUACGUAGGGUGCAAGCGUUAAUCGGAAUUACUGGGCGUAAAGCGUGCGCAGGCGGUUCGGAAAGAAAGAUGUGAAAUCCCAGAGCUUAACUUUGGAACUGCAUUUUUAACUACCGAGCUAGAGUGUGUCAGAGGGAGGUGGAAUUCGCGUGUAGCAGUGAAAUGCGUAGAUAUGGAGGAACACCGAUGGCGAAGGCAGCCUCCUGGGAUAACACUGACGCUCAUGCACGAAAGCGUGGGGAGCAAACAGGAUUAGAUACCCUGGUAGUCCACGCCCUAAACGAUGUCAACUAGCUGUUGGGGCCUUCGGGCCUUGGUAGCGCAGCUAACGCGUGAAGUUGACCGCCUGGGGAGUACGGUCGCAAGAUUAAAACUCAAAGGAAUUGACAGGACCCGCACAAGCGGUGGGAUGUGGAUUAAUUCGAUGCAACGCGAAAACCUUACCUACCCUUGACAUGUCUGGAAUCCCGAAGAGAUUUGGGAGUGCCUGCAAGAGAACCGGAACACAGGUGCUGCAUGGCUUGCCGUCAGCUCGUGUCGUGAGAUGUUGGGUUAAGUCCCGCAACGAGCGCAACCCCUUGUCAUUGGUUGCUACGAAAGGCACUCUAAUGAGACUGCCGGUGACAAACCGAGGAAGGUGGGGAUGACGUCAAGUCCUCAUGGCCCUUAUGGGUAGGGCUUCACACGUCAUACAAUGGUCGGGACAGAGGGUCGCCAACCCGCGAGGGGGAGCCAAUCCCAGAAACCCGAUCGUAGUCCGGAUCGCAGUCUGCAACCGACUGCGUGAAGUCGGAAUCGCUAGUAAUCGCGGAUCAGCAUGUCGCGGUGAAUACGUUCCCGGGUCUUGUACACACCGCCCGUCACACCAUGGGAGUGGGUUUUACCAGAAGUAGUUAGCCUAACCGUAAGGAGGGCGAUUACCACGGUGAAAUUCAUGACUGGGUGAAGUCGUAACAAGGUAA
rnacentral:rRNA from 1 species